ensembl:lncRNA MYHAS myosin heavy chain gene cluster antisense RNA
AAAACAAAACUGAAGACCGUAGCUUAGGCCAUAUGCCCCAUCCAUCCCUGGAGGUAACAAGAGGAAAGUCACCUUCCUUGGGACUGUAUAGAUGCCCAAACAGAAAUCUGAGGGUAUUGAGAAGGGGGAAGAGGGAUUGGCUGGUGCAGAGGGAAGCAUUUGACAAAGACAAGGGGAGAAGCCAUUGAAAGGAGAUCAAUUUCAGCGUGUUUGGACCAGCAGAUUCCAGGUGAUGGAUAGGCAGCUUCAUUUUAAUAGUCUGUUGGUACAGGGUGACCUGUAGCCUUUCCAGAAGAGGUAAAAUGAAUCCUCCGGUUGUCACCCCCUCCUUCCUCGCUCCAAUUCCAUCAUUAAUCCCCGUUUGAGGAUUUGAGUGCUGCCGAGGACUGACAGACUCCAUGAGGUUCAGCUGCUGCCUGGUACAUGUGGUCACCUGCAGCUUCUUCAGCCCUACAUAUAUUUUGUGCUGUUUUAGACUGCUCUUUCUUCCAUUAAAUGAGAGAUUAGAUCUGAAUGGCCACGUGAUCUUCUGAGUCCCAUCUGUAAGAAUCUGCAUUUCCACGGAAUUG